rnacentral:rRNA from 1 species
AACGAACGCUGGCGGCAGGCUUAACACAUGCAAGUCGAGCGCCCCGCAAGGGGAGCGGCAGACGGGUGAGUAACGCGUGGGAAUCUACCCAGCUCUACGGAAUAACCCAGGGAAACUUGGACUAAUACCGUAUACGUCCUCCGGGAGAAAGAUUUAUCGGAGUUGGAUGAGCCCGCGUUGGAUUAGCUAGUUGGUGGGGUAAUGGCCUACCAAGGCGACGAUCCAUAGCUGGUCUGAGAGGAUGAUCAGCCACACUGGGACUGAGACACGGCCCAGACUCCUACGGGAGGCAGCAGUGGGGAAUAUUGGACAAUGGGCGAAAGCCUGAUCCAGCCAUGCCGCGUGAGUGAUGAAGGCCCUAGGGUUGUAAAGCUCUUUCACCGGUGAAGAUAAUG